AGGACGAACGCUGGCGGCGUGCUUAACACAUGCAAGUCGAACGGUAAGGCCCUUCGGGGUACACGAGUGGCGAACGGGUGAGUAACACGUGGGUGAUCUGCCCUGCACUUCGGGAUAAGCUUGGGGAAACUGGGUCUAAUACCGGAUAUGACUACGAAUCGCAUGGUUUGUGGUGGAAAGCUUUUGCGGUGUGGGAUGGGCCCGCGGCCUAUCAGCUUGUUGGUGGGGUGAUGGCCUACCAAGGCGACGACGGGUA
rnacentral:rRNA from 1 species